rfam:Calothrix sp. PCC 6303, complete genome.
GGGAGCCGUGUACACAGAAAUGCGUACGCACGGUUCUAACAGAGAGGUGCUGGGGAUAAUACCCCACAUCGACUCUAAC